GGCUCUGUAGCUCAGUCUGGUUAGAGCACUGCCCUCUUAAGGCAGGUGUCAGGGGUUCAAAUCCCCUCAGGGCCA
rnacentral:tRNA from 1 species